GGACAGAUGGCCGAGCGGUCUAUGGCGCUACGUUCAGGUUUCACUUUGUGAAUGUACUAUUCGUAGUCUCGAAAGGGGCGUGGGUUCGAAUCCCACUCUGUUCA